rnacentral:rRNA from 1 species
UAGGGAAUCUUCCGCAAUGGGCGAAAGCCUGACGGAGCAACGCCGCGUGAGUGAUGAAGGUCUUCGGAUCGUAAAACUCUGUUAUUAGGGAAGAACAAAUGUGUAAGUAACUAUGCACGUCUUGACGGUACCUAAUCAGAAAGCCACGGCUAACUACGUGCCAGCAGCCGCGGUAAUACGUAGGUGGCAAGCGUUAUCCGGAAUUAUUGGGCGUAAAGCGCGCGUAGGCGGUUUUUUAAGUCUGAUGUGAAAGCCCACGGCUCAACCGUGGAGGGUCAUUGGAAACUGGAAAACUUGAGUGCAGAAGAGGAAAGUGGAAUUCCAUGUGUAGCAGUGAAAUGCGCAGAGAUAUAGAGGAACACCAGUGGCGAAGGCGACUUUCUGGUCUGUAACUGACGCUGAUGUGCGAAAGCGUGGGGAUCAAACAGG